UUUAUUGGAGAGUUUGAUCCUGGCUCAGGAUGAACGCUGGCGGCGUGCCUAAUACAUGCAAGUCGAGCGAAUUGAUUAAGAGCUUGCUCUUAUGAAGUUAGCGGCGGACGGGUGAGUAACACGUGGGUAACCUGCCCAUAAGACUGGGAUAA
rnacentral:rRNA from 1 species